ACAACUAAUCCUACUAGCACUAAGCUAAGGCGAUAGUUUUCAGCCUAAAGGUUGAAGCUUUACACCAAAAACUCCAAAAAUGGGUAUUUUAGGUUCAAAUUGAUUCCGGCGGAAUUCCGGCGACAUAACGGAAAAUCUAACCCGGCAGAAGUGAUCUUGGGCGCAUAAGGAAGAGGUUUAGAAUCAGAAAUGAAAGAUUCAGG
rnacentral:lncRNA from 1 species